GGCAUUAUAGCCUAGUGGUAUCUUGGUGAUGGGGUAAGGCUUACGACCAUUAGGUCAUGGGUUCGAUUCCCACAAAGGGUG
rnacentral:tRNA from 1 species